GGAGGGAUGGCCGAGAGGACGAAGGCGGUGGUCUUGAAAACCACUGGGCCCUCGGGCCCCGUGGGUUCGAAUCCCACUCCCUCCG
rnacentral:tRNA from 1 species